CCUACGGGUGGCAGCAGUGGGGAAUAUUGGGCAAUGGGAGGAAUCCUGAACCAGCCAUGCCGCGUGCAGGACGACGGCUCUACGAGUUGUAAACUGCUUUUGUACCGGGGUAAAAUGCCUUACGUGUAGGGUUUUGAAAGUACGGUACGAAUAAGGAUCGGCUAACUCCGUGCCAGCAGCCGCGGUAAUACGGAGGAUGCGAGCGUUCUCCGGAUUUAUGGGGUUUAAAGGGUGCGCAGGCGGAGGCACAAGUCAGCGGUAAAAGCGCGGGGCUCAACCCCGCUCCGCCGUUGAAACUGUGUCCCUUGAGUGCGCGAAGGGUAGGCGGAAUGCGUGGUGUAGCGGUGAAAUGCAUAGAUAUCACGCAGAACUCCGAUCGCGAAGGCAGCCUACCGGCGCGCAACUGACGCUCAUGCACGAAAGCGUGGGUAUCGAACAGGAUUAGAUACCCUAGUAGUC
rnacentral:rRNA from 1 species